ACCACCUCUGGUAGAGGCAUAAAACAAGACUUUUUGGGACACACAAUGGUCAAUUUCUCUCAUCCAAUUCAUACCAGUGAUCGAGAAGAUGAUGAACCGUACAUUCUUGCAUCCGAGGCUCGCCUUUGUAGUAGUCCAUGUGAAGUUAAGAGAUUUGUUUGACAUGGGUGAAGACAAUGAACACUAUGAGGUCAAACUUUUCCCCCAACCGAGUUUGUCAUUGACAAGGGACGAAAAUUUAGAAGAACCCA